rnacentral:snRNA from 1 species
AGAUGCGAAGGCGAUCUGGCAGCGGCAUCUAUCACCCCAUUGAUCACAAGGGUUGAUUUGGCUGAUCUGGCUGGCUAAGUGAGUGUCCCCUUCCUUCCUCAAUGCUCCAUGUGUGUCCCUCCCAAAGCCACGCACUUGUUGGAAGAGGACGACCACCCCUGAUAGAGGAGGACCGUUCCUCCAUCAAGGGUAUACUAGUAGCUGCCCUCCCCUGCUAGAACCUCCAAACAAGCUCUCAAAAUCAGAGCCUAACCCAGGCACAAUGAAAUAUGUGCUAUGUGUAUGAUGACUUCAU